AUCAAGUUGGCAGAGAAGUGCCUUUGAUUUAGGUUCUUAAUAUAAAAAUUUUUUUACUUGAUA
rnacentral:tRNA from 1 species